rnacentral:tRNA from 1 species
GCCCGGGUGGGCAAAUUGGCAAAGUCGCCGCACUCAGACUGCGGAGUUGUGCGGGUUCGAGUCCCGCCCCGGGUA